UAAUUUUUAGCUGAAUUGCCAUUUUUGUAUAGAUCUUAAGCUUCCUUUGUGGUAAUCUAAAAAUAAAACAGUCACUUGUAAUUCAUCAGUCGCAGUGAAAACAUUUAAAUCAUUCUCCCGCUCUUUAACUUUAAUUUAAUCUCAGUGCUGUGAACAAAAUAUAAAAUAAAAUAUAAAAAAAAAAUAACCCAACUCCACUUUAUUUACUUCAUUUGGCCCAGCAGAACAAAAGAUUGCUCCUUGUUUUCCCCCUCGCUCUACCAGUCUACAGAAGUUGCUCUAGUUUAUUUCAUGGUCACUUCGAACCGCUGAAAAUUGAAACCAG